UGUGCUGUUUAGAAUUUCAACCAUUUACCAUUACUGACUGUAAUUUCCCUUUAGAGGAAAAAAUCAUGGAAAAUUUUUCUAUAUGAAAGAAAAAAAUGUAAAGCAGAUGGGGAACAUUUGACUGUGGUUUCUUAUGCACAACAACCAGAGACUGCAUCUACAAAUGAAGUUCAACCACUGUCUGUUUGGAUAAUUAGAAGUUUGCUAGCAUAAAUUCAGGUGAUCUAAAACAAUUUGAACUAUACUACGUGAAUACAAAUGGGAAGCAGGUCCAUCAUAGGCUAGAGGUCAGGAAGCUCAAGUGCUCUUGUGUAUGAGAUUCAUGGUUCUGUGUACUUAUGGUCACUAAUAUAGACCUUUCACUCUUAUGUGCAGUGUUGAAGAGGGAAAUCACUCAUCAGUUCUUUUGCACUAUAUUUUGAAGUUCUAGUGAUUCUGUCCAGGGGAGGUGAAUCCAGCUCCAGAUCUAAGAGAGGAUGUUGAACACCUUUCCUGUGUUACAGGAAGGGCAGGACAUUUGCAACCUUGGAGGCAAUUGGGUAGGGGGCUGUGACCAAAUAUCAUACAGGCAAAGGAUAGAUACUCAGAUUCCUGGAUGGGUAUUCCACACCAGACACCUAUCCAGACUCCUCACUUCCAUCUCCUAGUCUCUCUCCAAGGUGCUACUUCUCAGCCACGUAGGUCUGCAUGAAUAGAAAUAAAUUUGGGACUACUAAGAGUUGUAGUAUUGGCAUGUGAAAUCACUGGAAUGCAUGGAUGCAGUUACCCUUAUGUUAUCACUUGCGCUUUCUGCUUCAUGAUGUACUUUCUGGAAUGGAGGAAGAGGGUGGUGGAGUAUUAUGACGGCUAAUUCUUUGAAAUGGUGUGAACCCAUAGCCUCUGCUCUCAAUGUCACCCCUGUAGACUGAUUUGGGGAGAGGUGAGAAGAAAAGAUUUGGAAUGGGUGUUUGGCUACCACUUGAGAUAGCCCCCUUAUUAUUUGUAAUAGCCUGUGGAGUUGGGGUGGAUGUUGAGGGCAGGAGAAUCCAAAUCCUGGAAGGUUAAGUGACCUAAUUUUCUCUUAAAGUUUAUACUAUUGUCUUUUUUUUACCCCUUCAUUCUAUUUACCUGCAUGAUAGAGAUCAGAGAGGGAAAACAUGAUAGAGAAGAAAUUUUCAGAAAGUUCAUAAGGACUUAUGUCUUGCAGUUUGAUGCAUGUAAGUUAUUGACUUUUCAUAUUCCUGGAUUUUUGGGGGUCGUUAUUAACUUUAUAUUUCUAAUAGAUUAAUUUUUCUAAAUUAGAUGUGUAUUAAGCAGUUUUGAGAUGUUUUCCUAACUUGUGCAUGGCUAGCCAAGGAUCUGCUUGAAUAUAAAUAGCAUCACACGCUGGGAGAUUGUACUCGAUCUAAUAUUUACCCAUCUUGCACGAAGAAGUGGGACAAGGUCACUGGGAAACGUAACCUAAGAAGUGGCCAUUUCAACAGGGGUUAUUAAACUCUGUUCUAAAAUACUGCUGUCACUGGGAGUAUCCAGAUACGAAGAGCUGUGCCAGUUGGAAAAAGGGGAAAGUUGGACACAGACAUAAACAUGAACAGAGGGAAGACCACGUGAAGACACAGGGAGAAGAUGGCUAUCUACCAUCCAAGGAAAGAGGCCUGGAUUCUUCCUUCACAGUUCUCAGAAGGAAGCAACCCCAGUGAUACCUUUAUCUGGAUCUUCUAGCCUCCAGAACUAUGAGGCAAUAAAUUUCUGUUGUUUAAGCCA